UACGUAGGGGGCAAGCGUUGUCCGGAAUCAUUGGGCGUAAAGCGCGUGUAGGCGGUCCGAUAAGUCGGUUGUGAAAGUCAAGGGCUCAACCCUUGAAUGCCGACCGAUACUGUCGGGCUAGAGUCCGGAAGAGGUGAGUGGAAUUCCUGGUGUAGCGGUGAAAUGCGCAGAUAUCAGGAGGAACACCAAUGGCGAAGGCAGCUCACUGGGACGGUACUGACGCUGAGGCACGGAAGGCCAGGGGAGCAAACGGG
rnacentral:rRNA from 1 species